AUCACACACUACCUCAGAAGAAUUUGUCACAGCAAGGAUUAAUAAGAUUAAGAGAUUCAGGUAGAAGUAGAGCUAUUUUACAAGAUAUAUUUGUCACCAAACAUGUAAAAAAAAAACUUCCUUUGCAGGAGUACCAUCCUCAUUGCUGCAUCCAGUAUCAGUCGUGUUGGCUUAAGAGGGAAUGAGCACCGUGCUAACGAAGUCCAUGUUUAAGAAAAGAUGAAACCUGCCCCGUGUGGGGAGAGUCUGCUCUGAUUUCAUGUGUGGCUCCAGCCAUGUCCUGCCACCAACUAAAAUCAUGGAACCACAGCC